rnacentral:rRNA from 1 species
UACAGAGGUCUCAAGCGUUGUUCGGAUUCAUUGGGCGUAAAGGGUGCGUAGGCGGCGCGGUAAGUCGGGUGUGAAAUCUCGGGGCUUAACUCCGAAACUGCAUUCGAUACUGCCGUGCUUGAGGACUGGAGAGGAGACUGGAAUUUACGGUGUAGCGGUGAAAUGCGUAGAGAUGUGGAGGAACACCGAUGGCGAAGGCAGCCCCCUGGGCCAACACUGACGCUCAGGCACGAAAGCGUGGGGAGCAAACAGG